CCUACGGGGGGCUGUAGUGGGGAAUAUUGGACAAUGGGCGAAAGCCUGAUCCAGCCAUGCCGCGUGUGUGAAGAAGGCCUUCGGGUUGUAAAGCACUUUCAGUGGGGAAGAAAGCCUUGGGGCUAAUACCCUCGAGGAAGGACAUCACCCACAGAAGAAGCACCGGCUAACUCCGUGCCAGCAGCCGCGGUAAUACGGAGGGUGCGAGCGUUAAUCGGAAUUACUGGGCGUAAAGCGCGCGUAGGCGGUCUGAUAAGCCGGUUGUGAAAGCCCCGGGCUCAACCUGGGAACGGCAUCCGGAACUGUCAGGCUAGAGUGCAGGAGAGGAAGGUAGAAUUCCCGGUGUAGCGGUGAAAUGCGUAGAGAUCGGGAGGAAUACCAGUGGCGAAGGCGGCCUUCUGGACUGACACUGACGCUGAGGUGCGAAAGCGUGGGUAGCAAACAGGAUUAGAUACCCCGGUAGUC
rnacentral:rRNA from 1 species